GCACGGGUGAGUAACACGUAUCCAACCUGCCGACAACACUGGGAUAGCCUUUCGAAAGAAAGAUUAAUACCGGAUGGCAUAAUUAUUCCGCAUGGGAUAAUUAUUAAAGAAUUUCGGCUGUCGAUGGGGAUGCGUUCCAUUAGGCAGUUGGCGGGGUAACGGCCCACCAAACCUACGAUGGAUAGGGGUUCUGAGAGGAAGGUCCCCCACAUUGGAACUGAGACACGGUCCAAACUCCUACGGGAGGCAGCAGUGAGGAAUAUUGGUCAAUGGACGAGAGUCUGAACCAGCCAAGUAGCGUGAAGGAUGACUGCCCUAUGGGUUGUAAACUUCUUUUAUACGGGAAUAAAGUGAGCCACGUGUGGCUUUUUGUAUGUACCGUAUGAAUAAGGAUCGGCUAACUCCGUGCCAGCAGCCGCGGUAAUACGGAGGAUCCGAGCGUUAUCCGGAUUUAUUGGGUUUAAAGGGAGCGUAGGCGGGUUGUUAAGUCAGUUGUGAAAGUUUGCGGCUCAACCGUAAAAUUGCAGUUGAUACUGGCGACCUUGAGUGCAACAGAGGUAGGCGGAAUUCGUGGUGUAGCGGUGAAAUGCUUAGAUAUCACGAAGAACUCCGAUUG
rnacentral:rRNA from 1 species